UACAGAGGGAGCUAGCGUUGUUCGGAAUUACUGGGCGUAAAGGGCGCGUAGGCGGUUUUUCAAGUCAGAUGUGAAAUACCUGGGCUUAACCUGGGAACGGCAUUUGAAACGGGAAGACUAGAGUUCAGAAGAGGAAAGUGGAAUUCCUAGUGUAGAGGUGAAAUUCGUAGAUAUUAGGAGGAACACCAGUGGCGAAGGCGGCUUUCUGGUCUGACACUGACGCUGAGGCGCGAAAGCGUGGGGAGCAAACAGG
rnacentral:rRNA from 1 species